rnacentral:lncRNA from 1 species
GACACCAUUCAGCUCAUGGCCAGCUCUCCAGAGACGCACCAGGUUCAUUCCCAGAAGCGCUUCUGUAGCUGCCUUUGAGCAACCGUGCUUACCAAAGAUUUUUCUAUAAAGUUUAGAGCAAGAAGAGAGAGAGAAGUGCUUGAUGUGUCGGGGGCAGACAUAUUAGCCAAGUCCAUCACUAACUCCCAGGUAGAGGUUCUGGAAAACUGUGGCCAUUCAGUGGUGAUGGAGAGACCGAGGAAGACAGCCAAGCUCGUCGUCGACUUUUUAGCUUCUGUGCACAACCCAGACAACAACAAGAAGCUGAACUGAGGCCGCUGCCACGGCCUGCAUUGUUGCACACAGCGUCUGCUCCCAUCCCCAAAACCUGACACAGUAACCACUCUCAGGGAUCCUGCCCCAAAUGCUGUCGGAGCACCAACGUCCCUGAGGAAACCAGUUGCCUAUCCCAGUAUCCUUGGUUCCAUAGAGCAUCAGGGGCCGCAAGGAACUCUCCAAGAUCCUUUUUUUCAAAAUAGAAACCUAAAUAGAAAAAAAGACAACAACAAACCACACCUAGCCAUGAAGCCUACCAGAGUCUUCACGCCACUGGCAAGCCAGUGCUAAGCAGUCACCCCGGACCGUUAUCUUCAAGGACACUUUCUUUAAGACAUUCCUCACACAUUAAACUUGAUCUCUUUUUGUUGUUGUUACUUCAGAUGUAUCCCCUGCAUGGCCAGUGGCCUUCUC